UACGUAGGGGGCAAGCGUUGUCCGGAAUCAUUGGGCGUAAAGCGCGCGUAGGCGGCUAGAUCAGUCUGCUGUAAAAGUCAAAGGCUCAACCUUUGAAAGCCGGUGGAUACUGUCUAGCUAGAGUCCGGAAGAGGCGAGUGGAAUUCCUGGUGUAGCGGUGAAAUGCGCAGAUAUCAGGAGGAACACCAAUUGCGAAGGCAGCUCGCUGGGACGUUACUGACGCUGAGACGCGAAAGCGUGGGGAGCAAACAGG
rnacentral:rRNA from 1 species